UACAGAGGGUGCAAGCGUUGUUCGGAAUUAUUGGGCGUAAAGCGCGUGUAGGCGGCUUUGCAAGUCGGGUGUGAAAGCCCUCAGCUCAACUGAGGAAGUGCGCCCGAAACUGCAGAGCUUGAGUACCGGAGAGGAUGGCGGAAUUCCCCAAGUAGAGGUGAAAUUCGUAGAUAUGGGGAGGAACACCGGUGGCGAAGGCGGCCAUAUGGACGGAUACUGACGCUGAGACGCGAAAGCGUGGGGAGCAAACAGG
rnacentral:rRNA from 1 species